rnacentral:rRNA from 1 species
ACGAUAGUCUCUCGCCAUCAAAAAUUUUCCUUGAUUAUUUCUUUCUUGCUUGCUUGCUUGCUUAAGCUUGCAUUCUGAAUACUGCAAGAAUUUCGGAUGCUGCUGCGGAACGCAUUUAAGCAUUCUCAUAAGAGUAAUAAGGAAGGAGAAUUGAACGAAGGCAAAAGGGAUACGAAUGUUAUGACAAAACACGUAUACACAUGUUUUUGUAUACAACCUUAGAAGCGCAUUUGAGCGUUAGCAUUAUUUAUCGAUAUUCUCUUCUUCGAUUCUUCCACAGUUUGAUCUGAUAUUCAAAUGUUUGAGAAUGAGCGAAAAGGAAGAGAAAUAAAAAAUGCUUUCGUAAAAAAAUGUGCGUUAGAUUUCAAUAACGGUGUCACUGUUGGUGUCUACACUUCAUUCUAACGUUAUCGCCCGACCGUCGAUAGUGAUCACGAAUGAAGAGUGCGCUUUACCGUUGCAAUUUUCUCUUCAUCUUUAGCGGACGAUUUUCUGCGAGGAUGAUCUUAAACUUGCAAUGUUCUUAAAGAAGACUUAAUAAGUGUCUAGCUUGUGCACUGCCAACAAAAAAAAAAAAACCCUACAAAAAUUUGUUUCGCAAGAAAUUUCAUUUGAGUGAAAUGAAAAGAGAAAAAAAAAAAAAAAAAAAUUAUC